GUAGGGUCCAAGCGUUAAUCGGAAUUACUGGGCGUAAAGCGUGCGUAGGCGGUCUCGCAAGUCCGAUGUGAAAUCCCCGGGCUUAACCUGGGAACUGCGUUGGAAACUAUGAGGCUCGAGUGUGGCAGAGGGGGGUGGAAUUCCAGGUGUAGCAGUGAAAUGCGUAGAUAUCUGGAGGAACACCGAUGGCGAAGGCAGCCCCCUGGGUCAGCACUGACGCUCAUACACGAAAGCGUGGGGAGCAAACAGGAUUAGAUACCCUGGUAGUCCACGCCCUAAACUAUGGCAACUAGUUGUUGGGGGAUGAACUCCCUUAGUAACGCAGCUAACGCGUGAAGUUGCCCGCCUGGGGAGUACGGUCGCAAGAUUA
rnacentral:rRNA from 1 species